rnacentral:lncRNA from 1 species
GGCGGGGCCCGGGGCGGGUCGGGCCGGGGGGCGAGAGGGUGCCCGCGGCCGCAGCUGAAGUUGGGCCGAGAGCCGGCGACGGCCCCGCGCCGGGGUCGCAGGGUACCAGUGUGCGGAGUUCCUGUUGCUAAGCUGAAGGUGGCGCUGGGCAGGCACAGGUGUUGUGGUCAUAUCUUCAGCCAACAGGACCAUCCUCCUGAGGGCCACCUCUGGGGACUUCCUACGGGAAGAGAGUGACAGAUUUGGUGCUUCUUUGUGUUUCUGCCGCUUCAGUGGGGCCACUGUGGGAGACAGUGGGUGGACCCUCCAGCAGCCUGUCUGCUGAGCCUGCCUUCUCAAGUCCACUGUGAAAAUCAGGACCGGGUCGUGUACAAGCCUACAGGCCCUGUCUCCCCUCCCCACACCUGCAGGAGUUGAGGGCUGCACCUGCUCGCUGGAGAGGGAGAGGCAGAUUUAGUGGACGCCUGGCAUGGACUCGGACUGGCCUUUGGAAGCUCCCUGUUCUGACGGGGUUGCCUGUCACCACUGCGAACUGAGGCUUGGCAGGACCUGCACCUGAGAAAGGCUAUGUGUGGUCUUGGGGUCCACACAUGCAGAGCUGACUUACUGCCAGAGGGCGACUUACUGUGGGCCACCCUCAGUGAACCAGGGUGUCCUCAGCCGGCCCUACAGAGCACUUCUGUGCUGGGGAUGAGUAGGAACUCUGGGCAAGGAGGGUCCCAGCACCGCCCCUCAGUACAGCCUGGCUCUGCCCUCUGCCUGUACUUAUACCAGGUGGGAUCCCUGCCCUGCAUUCUCUGGGGAUUGGCUGGGC